ensembl:snRNA U6 U6 spliceosomal RNA
GUAUCCCUUUGGCAGCACAUAUACUAAAGUUAGAAUGAUACAAGAGAGGAUAAACAUGGCCCGUGCAUAAGGAUGACACACAAAUUCGUGAAACUUUCCAUGUUCUU